rnacentral:rRNA from 1 species
UACGGAGGGUGCAAGCGUUAUCCGGAUUCAUUGGGUUUAAAGGGUGCGUAGGCGGAUUGGUAAGUCAGUGGUGAAAUCUCGCAGCUUAACUGCGAAACUGCCAUUGAUACUGCCGAUCUAGAGUACAGUUGCCGUUGGCGGAAUAUGACAUGUAGUGGUGAAAUACAUAGAUAUGUCAUAGAACACCGAUUGCGAAGGCAGCUAACGAAGCUGUAACUGACGCUGAGGCACGAAAGUGCGGGGAUCAAACAGG